rnacentral:rRNA from 1 species
GACGAACGCUGGCGGCGUGCUUAACACAUGCAAGUCGAACGGAAAGGCCCUGCUUUUGUGGGGUGCUCGAGUGGCGAACGGGUGAGUAACACGUGAGUAACCUGCCCUUGACUUUGGGAUAACUUCAGGAAACUGGGGCUAAUACCGGAUAGGAGCUCCUGCUGCAUGGUGGGGGUUGGAAAGUUUCGGCGGUUGGGGAUGGACUCGCGGCUUAUCAGCUUGUUGGUGGGGUAGUGGCUUACCAAGGCUUUGACGGGUAGCCGGCCUGAGAGGGUGACCGGCCACAUUGGGACUGAGAUACGGGCCAGACUGCUACGGGAGGCAGCAGUGGGAAAUAUUGCACAGUGGGCGGAAGCCUGAUGCAGCAACGCGGCGUGCGGGAUGACGGCCUUCUGGUUGUGAACCGCUUUCGCCUGUGACGAAGCGUGAGUGACGGUAAUGGGUAAAGAAGCACCGGCUAACUACGUG